AUAGCACAUUAUUCCAACUGGUUCCCGUACGAUCACCGAAGUUAAGCAGCGUCGAGCCUGGUCAGUACCUAGAUGAAUGACCUUUUGGGAAUACCAGAUGCUGUAAG